AGCACUCCCGAGGAUUAACCCCCGUUGUUAUCUCUCGACAAGACGUUAGAGGACAAGCUUGUGGAAACCUAUUUUGGCAAACUUUGUGGAUUAGACUGAAUGAAGUCUUGAGUAUAAAUCCCCGUAGAUUGAAUUAGAUAGAUACUGUUCAUUUCGCUGCAUGGGUGUGCAGGAGGUUUAGAAGUGUGAUUACGCUGUCAGCCUGUCGCCUGCGAUCCACUCAGGCACCUUGAUCUAUAGUCCUAGUCGCUUGUCUUUGAUUUAACUCCUUUUUCGGCUCUUCUGAGGUGUUUCUGCUUACAUCAGGUAAUGACAAAAAAGCAGGCCGCAGAAAACAAAGGUAUGGAGAGCGAUGAUUCAGGCGAUGAUUCAGGUGAAGACAGACAUGGUGCAAAGAGCAAGAAAACAUUGGCCACAACAUUUCACACCAAAGGAUUGCUGGUGGCUUCUUUCAUAGUGUUUUGGUUGGUUUUCUUUAGUCUUCUUUUUCUUCAACUAUACAUGGCAUGCUUGUCAAGAAGAUCACAACAGAUCUUGAACCAGUUAGCAGCAUCGAAGAGGAAUAUACCCCAGAAUGUGUACGACUUGUACUUUGAUUAUUUGGAAUGGGGAGCAGAUAUGGAUCAAGUUGACCUUCGUGCCAACACGUCCAUUUUCGUUCAUUGAAUUUUUGUGGCCACAGAACUGUGAGCUUCUCUUUUUCAUGUUAUACAUCAUGAAAAAAGCUGAUCACAUGCUAUUUUUUAAAAAAUUCUUUUUAACAGGCGACCAGAAUUAUUAAGUCGUUAACAUAUGUUGAAAAACAACAUGCACAUUUUCUGUGAUUAAAAAUAGUUUCCCUUGUUCAGGAUGGGAAUUCUUAAUGUGCUGUCAUCAUAAAAACAGUUUGACUAGAUAGCCAUCAAAAUAUAGAAAAAUGGCUUUAAAAGCAUUCUCCAUAAUGAUGUCAUGAAUGAGUGAGUAUAACUAUGACUGCAAGGGUCAAAAUGUAUUUUUCUGUUAUGAAGCUUUUGUUGUUGUGUCCCCAUAUAUUUACAAACCCUUUUUUACUGGCUUAAAUGGAAUUACUCUAUUUUUUUUUAAAUCUUUGACCAAAAAACAUCAACAGUCUAAAUUUUGUCAACAUUAGAAAAGAUCUAAUACAAUGUUUAUUUCAGAAAGAGACUGCUGAUGGAAGGAAUGAGUAAAUUGCAAAAUGUUAUUUGAGAUUGCCUCAGUCAGCAUGCGUGUAUCAUGAUGGUUAUCAGUGAGGUCUCAGUCUCCAUGCGUCAUGAUGGUUUGCUUGAUCAUCAAUGUGGAGAAAAUCCUGUUAUUUUUCAUGACAAAUGGUUUAUAAUAUUUUAUAAUAAAUGGUUCAUGUUAAUAUUUGAUAACAAAUGGUUCAUGUUGAUAUUUGAUAAAUGGUUCGUGUUGAUAUUUGAUAAAUGGUUUGUGUUGAUAUUUGAUAACAAAUGGUUCAUGUUGAUAUUUGAUAACAAAUGGUUCAUGUUAAUAUUUGAUGAAUGGUUCAUGUUGAUAUUUGAUGAAUGGUUCAUGUUGAUAUUUGAUAACAAAUGGUUCAUGUUGAUGAGUACUGCUGAACUUUCUCAAUGUCUGCAUGAUAUGAGGAGCUGUCUUUUUUGAAGUUUGUGUGAUCACCUUGAAUCUUACACGCUAUUAUAGACUCAUGGCAAAUGCUAGGCAGUGCACCAGAAGAACUGUAUUCUUGGCCACAAGGCAUUAGCUGGCAUCAGCAUAUCUUAGUUUCCUUGGAAGUGUGUAAUGCUGUGUCCAUCAGCAACAUACUUCUUUUCCUGAUUAUCCUGGCAUUUGCUUGCUAAUUGUGAUUUAACCUGUGUGGUGCAGCAAACUUCACCCAGUCACCCCAGCUAUCAGGAUUCCAGGGUCAGGGAGAGAUGGGCACGCCCCUUACAAAUUGCUGGCCCCAAGAAGUGAGGUCCCUAACACCUUAGUCCCCAUUGAGAGGACAACCCUUUUAACCUCUUUAAGUCAUCUCCUGAGGUGCAGCAUCUCAGCAUACAGUUUUUACAGUUGAAUUUUAUCUCAUCAGUGUUGCUGUUAGUUACACCAUUUAAAAAAAAAAAAACUAGUUCUGCUAUAAUUAGUAUUUUUCUUUUUGAACAGUUGAUUCCUGUGCAUUAAAAAAUUCAUUAUUUUGAGGAUAUAUCGGGGAUUUUAUGACACUGUCUUGAUGCAGUAAAUGAUCUUGAAAGUGGCUUGUGCCAGAAAGGCCUGCUUCCUGACUGACAAAUAGUAAAAGCAAAUGUACAAGUCUAAACACUGCUACUGUUGUGCAAAUUAAAACAAUGGUCAUUACCACAUCAAAUGUAAAUUCUGAUGAAGCUCAGUGAGCUAUAUUUGAGCUAUUUAGCAGUGAAUCAAAGAUGUCGCAGCUUAUGACAUGCAUUUUAUAUACUUUGCAUUUCUUAUUUAUUGUGGAAAUUAGCAUAUUUUUGGGAUGUGCCUGUUAAGUUCUGCAGUGUUAUUCUUAUGAAAGCAAAGUAACUCAUGGUAUUAUGGUAUGUCAUUGCUAUUUUAUGAGUGUUACCUCAGCGCUCACCCUCAUUCCAUUUUGGAAGACCUGCUUGAGUGCUUAGCACUUUUUCAUUGUAAGAAAUAAUGUCUAUCUGUUUAAUUGGUUCCAAUCCUAACAAUAGCUUGUGUCAUUCAUAGUAUUUUAUAGUGUGGCAUAUAAGAUUGGUUUGUUUCAAGCUAUAUUUUUCAUUUAUCCACAGCAAUAAUAAUUUCAUCUCUUCUGUUAUUUGAGAUCUUUGCCUUGUUACCAUUUUUACCCUUUUCUACAUCAGCUGCUUUAAUGAUUUUUUUUUAAUCAUUGUCAAUAUCAUGGGCUUAACCAUGCCAUACUGAAGGGGUAAUUCUGGCACAUGAAUGCCAUACUCAUGCUUGGUAAUGUUCUGUUCCUUUUUUUAAUUCAGUUAUUUCUUACUGUUUACCUCUUUCCUUCCCUUUAGAAAGUUUCUUUGGUGCCAUGAUGACUGUAUACAUAUCAUAUAUAUAUGUAAACAGUCCAACAAGAUUGUGAACAUAGCAUCAAGACAGGUAAGCUUGAUGUCUCAUACAGGUUUUAGCACAAUAGUCAAUGCAGAGCAAAUGGUCAAGCGCCAAAGCAGAAUUCUCUUAGAAAUAUUGGUCAAGAACCAAAAUGUUCAAGCACAAAGCAAGUCUGAGUGCUGAGGUACCACCAUAUAGUUAGUUCUUUGCAUCACUUGUUUAAAAAAAAAACUUGUGAUUGUAAGCUGUGGCUCAUUUAUGAAAUCAAAUUAGUUUUAUAGGCAUAGUACUGAUGUUCCUAAAUCCUCUCUGUAUGCGUACAUUUGGGAGAUUCGUCCAGUUGUUGGAUGGAUUGGCAAGGUAAUUGGAAAUUCAUGUAUGUUUCAUUGUUCCUUAUGCUAAAUAAUGGCCAGGCUUAAAAAUUUCUCACAAUACAAUGGUUUAUUUGCUAUGUAAUGCUGAAUACUGUUGUGAUAACAGGCAGUGACCAAAGGUCACACAAGAACUAUAGUGUAAAUGGGCAACACUUAUUUCUGAUAUUUGAUUGUGUGUACACCUCUUGAUGUCAGACUUAUCUAAAUCCGCUUUGUUACAGAUGUUACAAGUUAUUGUAUACAUGUAUAUUAUAUAUACUGUAUACAUGUAUAUGGAUGCCUUUCUUGAUACUUGUAGGAAUCUAAUGAUCAUACACUUUUCUGUUAUUCACUAAAAGUGGAUGCAGAAGUAUGUGUAAGCAUGCAUAUGCAUAUGCUUACUGAAGUCUGUCAGUGCUAUUUAGAUAGUUUAUGCCUUAUAUGAUUUGGAGCAACAUUUCAAGAAAGUUAAGUUGGGUUCCAUAGCAAGAUACAUGGGCAUGCUCAGUGAUAAACCACAGAAAUGAUAUAAAGUCAUAAGAAGCUGGAAAGCUCUCUUUGCUGCAGAAGUGUUGUGGAGCUAAUAUUCAGUCUGAUAAGUACUUGUGAGCCAAACAAGAUCCCAGCUCAGGGGUGACUUGAACGCAUCCAAAUGUCCUGCUUGAACAUGCUUUCUACAUAAGUGCAAUCCACUUGAUUCAAAUGUCAUCAGAUUUUAUUAUAAUGGAAAAUUUAUAAAUUUGCUGAAGACAGCAUUCCAUCUCAUUGGUGAAUGGUCUCUGUACAUUAUGCUUUUUAACACUUUACAGUUCAGUCGAACACCGUAAUUGAAAAACGUUUGUCCACUUCAUGGAAAAAAGCCUUAACUAUAAGGAUCUGAACAGUAGACCAAGUCAGAAUGCUUUGUGAUUGCAUUUCUCUCUUUUCACAAAGCAACUAAAAGACAGCAAGUGCCAGGAAAAUAAUUAAAACAUUUUCUCACAUGAUGGCCGUUUUAAUUGAACACAACUAUUACAUAUUUCUUCAGAUGGCACAUGCAGCUUUAGUAAAUUAGAUAUUUUAACUUUUUGUCUGAUAUCUUUUAUGAACUCAUUGUUUUAUGUGGUGGUAUGCAAAGUUAAUUGGAGGUUUAUGUGGUUUCUUUUUUUAAAACUUUCUCUCGUUUUGAGGGAAUGGUUUUGGCAUGUUAUGUGUCUACUGAGUUCGGUUCUGUUGAGAAAGAAGUUUAUAAAGGUUGUUCUGAGGGAUGUUUGCUAAAGUUUUUAGUUAACACAGAGAAGUGUAAAAAAAAUGCUGCAGUUUAUGUCAAUGAAUUGUAGGAGGAUGAGGAACAGACCAGAAAUUUAGAAAAAAAUGGAUUACUUAAAUAUUAAAAUGGCAGACUGAUGGAAAAUGACCAACAUGAUUUGUAGGCUUCCAAAAUUGUUUGGGAACCACUCCUCAGAUAUUAUGUUUUAGCACUUUUUAGCCUGGUUGUGUUUGAGAAAAAUGGAAAUUAGGGGAGAAAAAACUUUUAUCAUAAAAAAAUUCUCCAGUGGAAUAUUAUUGGCAUAACAUACUGCUGGUCUGGCAUGGUGGAGCUGGCUAGCUGUGAAACACUUGUCAUCUGUAACAUACUCAUACAUCUUGUCGAUUGUAACAUUCUCAUACAGUUUUGGUUUAUUUGCUGGCAACAGCAAAGAUGUUGCUUUGACUCAUGUCUUUGGUUAAAUGUGAGGUAUUCAUCCUAUUUUGUCUUCUGAUUAGCCUUGCAAACUUUAUAACAGAGAAAUUGAAGAAAGUGUAAAACUGGUUCAAUUGUGGCCAAUAUUUAAAUAUACAUUUGAAAAACUAGUCAGUGUUUUGCGCAGCAUAUCUAGCUCAUUGUGCACCAACAUUCACAAGAAAGUUUGUGGCAUGUUGAUGAGCUGAAAAUGCAGUUGGCAUUGUUUACAAAACAAAAUUUUCUGUAUUUUUUUUUUCCAAUCAAUGGGGCUUAUUAAUAAAAAUAUAUAUGCAUUGCAUGAGAAUUGUGAUAAUCUUGAAGUUAAUGUUAAAGAUGAAUUUUGUUUA